AUUGAACGCUGGCGGCAUGCUUUACACAUGCAAGUCGAACGGUAACAGGCCUUCGGGUGCUGACGAGUGGCGAACGGGUGAGUAAUGCAUCGGAACGUACCCAGAGGUGGGGGAUAACGCAGCGAAAGCUGUGCUAAUACCGCAUGUGAUCUGAGGAUGAAAGCGGGGGACCGAGCAGCAAUGUUUGGCCUCGCGCCUUUGGAGCGGCCGAUGUCGGAUUAGCUAGUUGGUGGGGUAAAGGCCUACCAAGGCGACGAUCCGUAGCUGGUCUGAGAGGACGACCAGACACACUGGGACUGAGACACGGCCAAGACUCCUACGGGAGGCAGCAGUGGGGAAUUUUGGACAAUGGGCGCAAGCCUGAUCCAGCAAUGCCGCGUGCGGGAAGAAGGCCUUCGGGUUGUAAACCGCUUUUGGCAGGAACGAAACGGUGUCCGCUAAUACCGGGCGCUAAUGACGGUACCUGCAGAAUAAGCACCGGCUAACUACGUG
rnacentral:rRNA from 1 species